GUUGAAAUACAUUCAUGGACUUUCCACAUCCAUUUACAAUAAACUCUUACAUCUUGCAUAUACAAAACAGCACAGUUUUUCAAAGCCUGACUAUAAGGCUACUAAAAUAACAUUCAUCGAUCUGCAAAUGACUACAACAAACACAUGGAUUGUAGGCAACAGUUUACUUCCUGGGAUUGGUGAUGUAGACGUUAUCGUAAUUCCUCCCACUUCGGACUUACAGCCUGUAAGUUAACUCCUGUCAGCAACCGAAUCUUUCAAACAUAAUGGGCACUAAUAUCUACCUGCAUGGGGUGAAGGAGGUUAACCCGGACAAGAGAGCAAAAGGAGAAUCAAAACAGGCAAGUCCUACUUAUGUUAUUUAAUUUGUGACAGCUUGUGAUUGUUGGGUUUAUAGAUAGCUGUCACUAGGGAAGAUAGCAUAGGAUUAUGACAGAUUCUACUUGGCAACAACAUGACAGGGAUGCUUCCCAUAAAUAAUCCCCAUUGAAAUUUUAAGGAAGCUGACAGAGGCCAGGAAAUAACAUCCUCUGGCCCACCUGUUUGUUUAUGACUGCAAUAGUCUGACAUGAGUUGUGUAUUGUAUGGUGAUCUUACGGUAGACAGUAUGUCAUGUGUAUACACUGUAAACAAAGUACAUGUAAU